rnacentral:rRNA from 1 species
CAGAACGAACGCUGGCGGCAAGCUUAACACAUGCAAGUCGAACGGAUUGUUAUCAUAGCUUGCUAUGAUAACAAUUAGUGGCAGACGGGUGAGUAAUGCAUAGGAAUCUACCUAGUAGUAUGGGAUAGCCACUAGAAAUGGUGGGUAAUACUGUAUAAUCCCUGCGGGGGAAAGAUUUAUCGCUAUUAGAUGAGCCUAUGUUAGAUUAGCUAGUUGGUAGGGUAAAGGCCUACCAAGGCAGUGAUCUAUAGCUGGUCUGAGAGGAUGAUCAGCCACACUGGAACUGAGAUACGGUCCAGRCUCCUACGGGAGGCAGCAGUGGGGAAUAUUGGACRAUGGGCGCAAGCCUGAUCCAGCUAUGCCGCGUGAGUGAGG